GAUGAACGCUGGCGGCGUGCCUAAUACAUGCAAGUCGAGCGAACAGACGAGGCGCUUGCUCCUCUGACGUUAGCGGCGGACGGGUGAGUAACACGUGGAUAACCUACCUAUAAGACUGGGAUAACUUCGGGAAACCGGAGCUAAUACCGGAUAAUAUAUUGAACCGUAUGGUUCAAUAGUGAAAGACGGCUUUGCUGUCACUUAUAGAUGGAUCCGCGCCGCAUUAGCUAGUUGGUAAGGUAACGGCUUACCAAGGCAACGAUGCGUAGGCGACCUGAGAGAGUGAUCGGCCACACUGGAACUGAGACACGGUCCAGACUCCUACGGGAGGCAGCAGUAGGGAAUCUUCCGCAAUGGGCGAAAGCAUGACGGAGCAGCGCCGCGUGAGUGAUGAAGGUCUUCGGAUCGUAAAACUCUGUUAUUAGGGAAGAACAAAUGUGUAAGUAACUAUGCACGUCUUGACGGUACCUAAUCAGAAAGCCACGGCUAACUACGUG
rnacentral:rRNA from 1 species